UACGGAGGGUGCAAGCGUUAAUCGGAAUCACUGGGCGUAAAGCGCACGUAGGCGGCCCGUUAAGUCAGAUGUGAAACCCCUGGGCUCAACCUGGGAAUGGCAUUUGAUACUAGCGCGCUCGAGUCUGAUAGAGGGGGGUGGAAUUCCAGGUGUAGCGGUGAAAUGCGUAGAUAUCUGGAGGAACACCGGUGGCGAAGGCGGCCCCCUGGAUCAUGACUGACGCUGAGGUGCGAAAGCGUGGGUAGCAAACAGGAUUAGAUACCCUGGUGGUCCACGCCGUAAACGAUGUCGACUAGCCGUGCGGUCCAUUUAAGGAUUGCGUGGCGCAGCCAACGCGAUAAGUCGACCGCCUGGGGAGUACGGCCGCAAGGUUAAA
rnacentral:rRNA from 1 species